CCUUUUGUAUAAUGGGUCAGCGACUUAUAUUCUGUAGCAAGGUUAACCGAAUAGGGGAGCCGAAGGGAAACCGAGUCUUAACUGGGCGUUAAGUUGCAGGGUAUAGACCCGAAACCCGGUGAUCUAGCCAUGGGCAGGUUGAAGGUUGGGUAACACUAACUGGAGGACCGAACCGACUAAUGUUGAAAAAUUAGCGGAUGACUUGUGGCUGGGGGUGAAAGGCCAAUCAAACCGGGAGAUAGCUGGUUCUCCCCGAAAGCUAUUUAGGUAGCGCCUCGUGAAUUCAUCUCCGGGGGUAGAGCACUGUUUCGGCAAGGGGGUCAUCCCGACUUACCAACCCGAUGCAAACUGCGAAUACCGGAGAAUGUUAUCACGGGAGACACACGGCGGGUGCUAACGUCCGUCGUGAAGAGGGAAACAACCCAGACCGCCAGCUAAGGUCCCAAAGUCAUGGUUAAGUGGGAAACGAUGUGGGAAGGCCCAGACAGCCAGGAUGUUGGCUUAGAAGCAGCCAUCAUUUAAAGAAAGCGUAAUAGCUCACUGGUCGAGUCGGCCUGCGCGGAAGAUGUAACGGGGCUAAACCAUGCACCGAAGCUGCGGCAGCGACGCUGAUGCGUUGUUGGGUAGGGGAGCGUUCUGUAAGCCUGCGA
rnacentral:rRNA from 1 species